rnacentral:rRNA from 1 species
GAUGAACGCUGGCGGCGUGCCUAAUACAUGCAAGUCGAGCGAACAGACGAGGAGCUUGCUCCUCUGACGUUAGCGGCGGACGGGUGAGUAACACGUGGAUAACCUACCUAUAAGACUGGGAUAACUUCGGGAAACCGGAGCUAAUACCGGAUAAUAUUUUGAACCGCAUGGUUCAAUAGUGAAAGACGGUUUUGCUGUCACUUAUAGAUGGAUCCGCGCUGCAUUAGCUAGUUGGUAAGGUAACGGCUUACCAAGGCAACGAUGCAUAGCCGACCUGAGAGGGUGAUCGGCCACACUGGAACUGAGACACGGUCCAGACUCCUACGGGAGGCAGCAGUAGGGAAUCUUCCGCAAUGGGCGAAAGCCUGACGGAGCAACGCCGCGUGAGUGAUGAAGGUCUUCGGAUCGUAAAACUCUGUUAUUAGGGAAGAACAUAUGUGUAAGUAACUAUGCACGUCUUGACGGUACCUAAUCAGAAAGCCACGGCUAACUACGUG